rnacentral:rRNA from 1 species
UUUGUUUUUUAAUUUAAAACUAGUAUGAAAGAUUUUACAUUUUAAUUUAUUUAUUUUUUAUAAUUAUAAUAAAUUAUAUUAAUUAUAAGAAUAUAAUUUUACAAUAAAAAGACGAUAAGACCCUAUUGAAUUUCACUUAUGUUUAGCUGGGGCAGCUAAAUAAUUAAUAUUUUACCAGAUUUUAUAAUAUUAUCUAUUAUAAAUAAAUAUAAUUAAAUUACCAUAGGGAUAACAGCGUAAUAUAAUUUUUUAGUUCUUAUUAUAAAUUUGGAUUGCGACCUCGAUGUUGAAUUAUUAUUGCUUAUUUAACGCAACAGUUAAAAAAGUAGGUCUGUUCGACCUUUAAUAUAUUACAUGAUUUGAGUUCAAACCGGUGUAAACCAGGUUGGUUUCUAUCUUUUUAUUUAAUUUUCUAGUACGAAAGGACAAAAAAUUUUAUUUUAAGUUUUAUAUUAGCAAAUAAAUGCAUUAGAAUUAGAAUCUAAAAAUAGU